rnacentral:rRNA from 1 species
GUUGAUCAUGGCUCAGGAUGAACGCUAGCGAUAGGCUUAACACAUGCAAGUCGAGGGGCAGCACGGUGUAGCAAUACACUGGUGGCGACCGGCGUACGGGUGCGUAACACGUAUGCAACCUACCCGCUAUGGGGGAUAACCCGGCGAAAGUCGGACUAAUACCCCAUAUUAUUCUUACCGGGCAUCCGGUAGGUCUGAAAGAUUUAUCGAUUGCGGAUGGGCAUGCGGAUGAUUAGCUAGUAGGUGGGGUAACGGCUCACCUAGGCGACGAUCAUUAGGGGUUCUGAGAGGAAGGUCCCCCACACUGGAACUGAGACACGGUCCAGACUCCUACGGGAGGCAGCAGUGAGGAAUAUUGGUCAAUGGGCGCUAGCCUGAACCAGCCAAGUCGCGUGAAGGAUGAAAGGUCCUAUGGAUUGUAAACUUCUUUUGCAGGAGGGUAAAGUGAGCUACGUGCAGUUCAUUGCAAGUACCCUGCGAAUAAGCAUCGGCUAACUCCGUGCCAGCAGCAGC